rnacentral:rRNA from 1 species
UACGUAGGGUGCAAGCGUUAAUCGGAAUUACUGGGCGUAAAGCGUGCGCAGGCGGCUAUGCAAGACAGAUGUGAAAUCCCCGGGCUCAACCUGGGAACUGCAUUUGUGACUGUAGAGCUGGAGUACGGUAGAGGGGGAUGGAAUUCCGCGUGUAGCAGUGAAAUGCGUAGAUAUGCGGAGGAACACCGAUGGCGAAGGCAAUCCCCUGGACCUGUACUGACGCUCAUGCACGAAAGCGUGGGGAGCAAACAGG